UACGGAGGGGGCUAGCGUUGUUCGGAAUUACCGGGCGUAAAGCGCACGUAGGCGGCGCCGUAAGUCAGGGGUGAAAUCCCGGAGCUCAACUCCGGAACUGCCUUUGAAACUGCGGUGCUAGAAUCCUGGAGAGGCGAGUGGAAUUCCGAGUGUAGAGGUGAAAUUCGUAGAUAUUCGGAAGAACACCAGUGGCGAAGGCGACUCGCUGGACAGGUAUUGACGCUGAGGUGCGAAAGCGUGGGGAGCAAACAGG
rnacentral:rRNA from 1 species